rnacentral:rRNA from 1 species
UCAAAAACAUAGCCUUUAGCCCCACAAGUAUUAAAGGUCCCGCCUGCCCAGUGACUCUUUAAACGGCCGCGGUAUCCUAACCGUGCAAAGGUAGCAUAAUCACUUGUCCCCUAAAUAGGGACUGGAAUGAACGGCUAAAUGAGGAUUAAACUGUCUCUUGCGAGCCGGUCAAUGAAUUUGAUUUUCCAGUUCAAAAGCUGGAAUAAACACAUAAGACGAGAAGACCCUGUGGAGCUUCAAAACCUAGUUCACCAAAUAAUGCUUCCUUCGGUUUUUAGUUGGGGCGACUUCGGAGCACAAAAAAACCUCCAAAACAUGUAAACCCACUAUAUUAAGAUCAACAAACCACAAAACCACAAGAUCCAGCAACAGCCCUUAAUGUUGUCUGACCAAUGAACCAAGUUACCCCAGGGAUAACAGCGCCAUCCCCUUCUAGAGUCCCUAUCGACAAGGGGGUUUACGACCUCGAUGUUGGAUCAGGACACCCCAAUGGUGCAGCCGCCACUAAAGGUUCGUUUGUUCAACGAUUAAAGUCCUA